GUUGACCUCGGAUCAGGUAGGAAUACCCGCUGAACUUAAGCAUAUCAAUAAGCGGAGGAAAAGAAACCAACAGGGAUUGCCCCAGUAACGGCGAGUGAAGCGGCAACAGCUCAAAUUUGAAAUCUGGCCCCAGGCCCGAGUUGUAAUUUGCAGAGGAUGCUUUUGGCGCGGUGCCUUCCGAGUUCCCUGGAACGGGACGCCAUAGAGGGUGAGAGCCCCGUACGGUUGGACACCAAGCCUUUGUAAAGCUCCUUCGACGAGUCGAGUAGUUUGGGAAUGCUGCUCUAAAUGGGAGGUACAUUUCUUCUAAAGCUAAAUAUUGGCCAGAGACCGAUAGCGCACAAGUAGAGUGAUCGAAAGAUGAAAAGCACUUUGGAAAGAGGGUUAAACAGCACGUGAAAUUGUUAAAAGGGAAGCGCUUGUGACCAGACUUGCGUCCGGUGAAUCACCCAGCUCUCGCGGCUGGGGCACUUCGCCGGCACAGGCCAGCAUCAGCUUGCCGUCGGGGACAAAAGCUUCAGGAACGUGGCUCCUCUCGGGGAGUGUUAUAGCCUGUUGCAUAAUACCCUUCGGCGGGCUGAGGUACGCGCUCCGCAAGGAUGCUGGCGUAAUGGUCAUCAGCGACCCGUCUUGAAACACGGACCAAGGAGUCAACCUUAUGUGCGAGUGUUUGGGUGUUAAACCCCUACGCGUAAUGAAAGUGAACGCAGGUGAGAGCUUCGGCGCAUCAUCGACCGAUCCUGAUGUUCUCGGAUGGAUUUGAGUAAGAGCAUAUAGGGUUGGACCCGAAAGAAGGUGAACUAUGCGUGUGUAGGGUGAAGCCAGAGGAAACUCUGGUGGAGGCUCGCAGCGGUUCUGACGUGCAAAUCGAUCGUCAAACAUGCGCAUGGGGGCGAAAGACUAAUCGAAC
rnacentral:rRNA from 1 species